UGGGGAAUAUUGGACAAUGGGGGAAACCCUGAUCCAGCGACGCCGCGUGUGUGAAGAAGGCCUGCGGGUUGUAAAGCACUUUUAGUGGGGAUGAAAAGCACCGGGCUAAUACCCAGGUGUCUUGACCUAACCUACAGAAAAAGCACCGGCUAACUCUGUGCCAGCAGCCGCGGUAAUACAGAGGGUGCGAGCGUUAAUCGGAAUUACUGGGCGUAAAGCGCACGUAGACGGUCUUGUAAGUCGGGUGUGAAAGCCCCGGGCUUAACCUGGGAACUGCAUUCGAGACUGCAUUACUGGAGUAUGGGGAGAGGGCAGUGGAAUUUCCGGUGUAGCGGUGAAAUGCGUAGAUAUCGGAAGGAACAUCAGUGGCGAAAGCGACUGCCUGGCCCAAUACUGACGUUCAUGUGCGAAAGCGUGGGGAGCAAACAGGAUUAGAUACCCUGGUAGUCCACGCCAUAAACGAUGACAACUAGAU
rnacentral:rRNA from 1 species